GUGUUUUCGCGUUAUACUUCAAUUGCAUGAACGGUCCGCAUUAACGAAAUUUCACGACCCAUGAUCCAUAUCGAUAACCAAAUACAUACAUGCUCCCAUAGUACUUAGGAAAUUAAUAGUCGUUGUUUAUUAUAUUUAAUUACAGGGAAUAUUUUUAAAUAGAAUAUUUUACUCGUCGUAUUAAGAAACGUAUAUAAACGAUAUACUUGUGCUCGUUUUUGGUCAUUGUUCAAUGGAAUAAAAAAAUGUCACGAAUUUACCAUCGAAUCGCGAUUGAAAUGAUUUCCAUUAUUGAGAAGUGGAUUGUUUCUUGUACACGAUGUUAACGAGCAAUGGCAGUUAAGAGAGGAAAGUAGAGUAGCAACGUGUUGAACGCGACCGUCGCUCAACAGGACUAGAUGCUUGGCUCCUGACAGAUAAAUGCUUUUAUGUAAUGCUGCCAGGGCUCUAGUCUGGAUAAAGAGAAGUAAAACCAUUGCGCAAUGACCCCGUUGCGCGUUUCGGCCAGGCCGUGUUGGGAAAUCCAUCGUGUCGUUAAAAAUGUGGGCCAUCGGCACAUUCUUGUUCCACGAAAACAAGCCGCGAUGCAACACCCAAUACGACCUAUAUUGCCAUCAUAGUUCGCCACUUUCAUAAUCAAAUCUCACCCUGUUUCUUCUCCACGAAACUCAAUCUUAUUUCAAACGAAAAGAUUUUUCAGAAGCAUUUGUACAAUUUUGCAAGAGAUAUAAAACUUUAUAGAACUACCAAAUUUUUCUUCAACGUUAAUUGACGAUUAUCGAAUACUCAUGAAUUUCUAAAAUUUCGAUAAAAGACACUAAACUUCCGUGUUCAUUAUAUUGCGUUUUGUAAAGCACUUUACCUGACAAUUAUCAAAAAUUCCUAUAUUCUGAAAUUUUGCAUCGAAUCUUACGGUAAAAGUUAUGAACGUCCGAAUCGCAAAACUUUCUUUCCCUUUGUAAGGAAAUAAUGCGUGCACAACACUUCUCCUUUUCUAUUUUUUUUAUUAAAUUACGUAUAAUCCAACAACAACAUUAUUCAACAAUAAAAAAUGUUGUGCAUCUAUUAUUUCCUUCUAAAACGAAAGAAACUUUUGGAUCAAUCUAUUAUCCUCGUUGAUAAUUAUCCAAUAUUCUCAAAGCUCAGAAAUUUUGCAUUCACGCCUAUAGCAGAAGGUUGUAAACUUCUUUGUCCGCUAUAUCACAAUUUCGUAAAGCAUUUUAAUUAAUAAUUAUCCAAUAUUCCUAAAUACGAGGAAUUUCAUAUCCGUCAAAAAGAGAUGUAACUUAAAGUUGAAUUAUUAUUACAGAAACAGCUGAGGCGACGCCAAGGAAAUCGAAAUUGGCGCUAAAUUAUUGGAACGCGCGCCGCGCCGCGAUCGCAAUGAUUUUUUUCGCGAAAAGCCGGUGAACUUGGGGAAUUACCGAGUGGCGCGCACGGGGCAAACGAAACGCGAACGUUCGCAGCGCCAUCGGGUAGCGAAUUGACCAAGUUGGUUGACAGGUACGCAUCGGUUCGUGGACACUAGGUGGCAGGUAGGCUGGCCGUGGUAGCGGGCAAUGUCAAUGUCAAUGAGCACGUGAGCCCCGCUCGAGGAAAAAUCGAUACGCUUCAGUGUCAAAGCUUUUCCCGGCGAAAGAGAGGUAGCUGCAUACGCGAGAACAAACCCGGGAAUAACCGAAGCAUAGUUUAUGACGCAAUGCAAUUUGUACUUAGAUCCUUCUCUCGACUCUUCGUAUACUCAUAGACACUUAGGUGUUACAGCUUCGUCUAAAAAGUGUCGUAACUUAUUCAUUUACGAAAGAAAGCGUGGUUGUUGAUCGUAAUUGAUGUUAUUUUAACGUAGUUGACGUUACUUCAAAGAAAGUGCCGUAGUAUUUGAUGAUAUAGAACGAGGAUGAGCGAUAAGGUUCGUUACUAAAGAGAGAACUGAUUCCACAGCUGCUGAUUAAAGAGACGUCUCGAACAAAGGAUCCCCUUUAAGAAACUUAUUCCGCGAAGAUUUCCGGAAAUCACCGUACAAAUCGUCCAUGUAACCAUCACACAAUAUGCUGAUAUCCUGAUUACGUAGCACGAAAUAUCUGAAACCUGCGCGGAGCAUAAUCCCACUCCGAGCAAAAAUAACUUCAUCGUACAGCAUGCAAUCAUCUUGAACUUAUCCUGUCCCAUCACGCAACCCCUACCCUAUCACAUCCGUCACCUAACUCCCCCUAGUACCGAAAAACAUACGCAAUCAGGCGCAACCACGAAACGAUUCAAUUCAAAUAUAUCGUGUUUCACGGGUGAUCUGUCACACGAGUAAAUCUCAUCCUCGAAUCACCAUACGUAACCUUCGAUCCCCCACCACCCACCCCCAUUGUCAAUAAACAAACAACAA